AGACGUCUACAUUACGAUACCCCCGUAGUCCCAGCCGUAAACUAUGCUCGCUAGGUGUCAGGCAUGGCGCGACCGUGUCUGGUGCCGCAGGGAAGCCGUGAAGCGAGCCACCUGGGAAGUACGGCCGCAAGGCUGAAACUUAAAGGAAUUGGCGGGGGAGCACAACAACGGGUGGAGCCUGCGGUUUAAUUGGACUCAACGCCGGACAACUCACCGGGGACGACAGCAAUAUGUAGGCCAGGCUGAAGACCUUGCCUGAAUCGCUG
rnacentral:rRNA from 1 species